rnacentral:rRNA from 1 species
UACGUAGGGUGCGAGCGUUAAUCGGAAUUACUGGGCGUAAAGCGUGCGCAGGCGGUUUUGUAAGCCAGAUGUGAAAUCCCCGGGCUCAACCUGGAACUGCAUUUGUGACUGCAUAGCUAGAGUACGGUAGAGGGGGAUGGAAUUCCGCGUGUAGCAGUGAAAUGCGUAGAUAUGCGGAGGAACACCGAUGGCGAAGGCAAUCCCCUGGACCUGUACUGACGCU